UACGUAGGGUGCGAGCGUUAAUCGGAAUUACUGGGCGUAAAACGUGCGCAGGCGGUUAUGUAAGACAGAGGUGAAAUUCCCCGGCUCAACCUGGGAACUGCCCUUGUGACUCCAUGACUAGAAUACGGCAGAUGGGGAUGGAAUUCCGCGUGUAGCAGUGAAAUGCGUAGAUAUGCGGAGGAACACCGAUGGCGAAGGCAAUCCCCUGGGCCUGUACUGACGCUCAUGCACGAAAGCGUGGGGAGCAAACAGG
rnacentral:rRNA from 1 species